CUUCGUGUACUUUAAAACCUUCCCUGGACGUCUAUGAAUAUUUCAAAACUAAAAUUAGCAAAAUCGGGUCAGCCGUUUUCGAGUUUU